rnacentral:rRNA from 1 species
UACAGAGGUCCCAAGCGUUGUUCGGAUUCACUGGGCGUAAAGGGUGCGUAGGCGGUUGGGUAAGUCUGAUGUGAAAUCUCACAGCUUAACUGUGAAACUGCAUUGGAUACUAUCCGGCUAGAGGAAUGGAGGGGGGACUGGAAUACUUGGUGUAGCAGUGAAAUGCGUAGAUAUCAAGUGGAACACCAGUGGCGAAGGCGAGUCUCUGGACAUUUCCUGACGCUGAGGCACGAAAGCCAGGGGAGCAAACGGGG